rnacentral:rRNA from 1 species
UACGUAGGGGGGCAAGCGUUGUCCGGAUUUAUUGGGCGUAAAGAGCGUGUAGGCGGCCUGAAAGGUCAGCUGUGAAAACUCGAGGCUCAACCUCGAGACGUCGGUUGAAACCAUCUGGCUAGAGUCCGGAAGAGGAGUGUGGAAUUCCCCGGUGUAGCGGUGAAAUGCGCAGAUAUCGGGAAGAACACCCGUGGCGAAGGCGGCACUCUGGGACGGUACUGACGCUGAGACGCGAAAAGCGUGGGGAGCGAACGAGG